rnacentral:rRNA from 1 species
UCAUUGAGACUUCGGUGGAUUUGAUCUAUUUCUAGUGGCGGACGGGUGAGUAACGCGUGGGUAACCUGCCUUAUACAGGGGGAUAACAGUCAGAAAUGGCUGCUAAUACCGCAUAAGCGCACAGAGCUGCAUGGCUCAGUGUGAAAAACUCCGGUGGUAUAAGAUGGACCCGCGUUGGAUUAGCUAGUUGGUGGGGUAACGGCCCACCAAGGCGACGAUCCAUAGCCGGCCUGAGAGGGUGAACGGCCACAUUGGGACUGAGACACGGCCCAGACUCCUACGGGAGGCAGCAGUGGGGAAUAUUGCACAAUGGGGGAAACCCUGAUGCAGCGACGCCGCGUGAAGGAAGAAGUAUCUCGGUAUGUAAACUUCUAUCAGCAGGGAAGAUAGUGACGGUACCUGACUAAGAAGCCCCGGCUAACUACGUGCCAGCAGCCGCGGUAAUACGUAGGGGGCAAGCGUUAUCCGGAUUUACUGGGUGUAAAGGGAGCGUACACGGUGUGGCAAGUCUGAUGUGAAAGGCAUGGGCUCAACCUGUGGACUGCAUUGGAAACUGUCAUACUUGAGUGCCGGAGGGGUAAGCGGAAUUCCUAGUGUAGCGGCGAAAUGCGUAGAUAUUAGGAGGAACACCAGUGGCGAAGGCGGCUUACUGGACGGUAACUGACGU